rnacentral:rRNA from 1 species
AUUGAACGCUGGCGGCAUGAUUUACACAUACAAGUCGAACGGUAACAGGCCGCAAGGUGCUGACGAGUGGCGAACGGGUGAGUAAUGCAUCGGAACGUGCCCAGUCGUGGGGGAUAACUACUCGAAAGAGUAGCUAAUACCGCAUACGAUCUAUGGAUGAAAGCGGGGGACCGUAAGGCCUCGCGCGAUUGGAGCGGCCGAUGUCAGAUUAGGUAGUUGGUGGGGUAAAGGCUCACCAAGCCAACGAUCUGUAGCUGGUCUGAGAGGACGACCAGCCACACUGGGACUGAGACACGGCCCAGACUCCUACGGGAGGCAGCAGUGGGGAAUUUUGGACAAUGGGCGCAAGCCUGAUCCAGCAAUGCCGCGUGCAGGAAGAAGGCCUUCGGGUUGUAAACUGCUUUUGUACGGAACGAAACGGCUCUGGUUAAUACCCGGGGCUAAUGACGGUACCGUAAGAAUAAGCACCGGCUAACUACGUG